ensembl:lncRNA
CCUCCAGUGGAGGGGAUGAUUCAUCUACAGCAGGCAAUUUAUUUCACUUUUAGAUGGGUCCAUUUUUUAAUGUUCUAAUUUAAUACAGAAACUCUUUGUAGUUUCUACUCAGUGGUUUUAGAUCUACUUUCAAAAGCUACACCAUCGUCUCUGUACUAUUUAAACAUAUUUUGACUUGCAUGAAAUCUACUAGCUCUUCUUGAAAGCCUAAAUGGGUAUUGUACUGAGUGGAUUAGAACUUCAAAUGCUGCAAAGAUACAAAAGUGCUUUACUGUAAAAUCCAAGACACAGCUCCCUGAGGAAAGGAACAGUGCUUCAAUGAAUCUCAGCUGUAGGCUUGUGUAUUCUUCUACAGCAAUCAAAACCAAUGAAAAAUAGCCUUCAUUGAUAAUACUCUUAAUGUCUGCAUUUCAGCACUUGGAGAAAACAUCCUAUUCAAGUCUAAACAUCUAGAAAGAUCUGGGAACUUCUGGACAGAAAAGAAAGCCUAUUAAAGAUAUGGUUGUACAUAGAGUUUUAGUCCCCCAUAUUUGUACAGUUUUACUGCUUCAUGUCCUCACCAUAUAUCUUUCUUUUCCAUGUUAUUUUCACUGAGAGACCUUCUGAGAAGGUCUGUGAGAUACCCUCCUUCUAGCAAAAGUGUACAUGAGUACUUGCAUUCGCAAGUACAGAUUCUCAAAGCAAUAGAAAGGAGGUGAGAGGAGUCAGGGUGCCAGAGAGCAUGUGAAGCCAUAGAAAAAAAUAUUACAUAUUUCUAGAAAGUCUAUUUUACUGGAAGAUUUGUCAAAAAAUAUUUUUUAUAAAAGAAAAAACAGAUACAUAUUGAUUACAUAAGCAUUUCCAUAUGAAAAAGGGACUUGAAAAUAAAUUAUGAAUUUGUAAGCGGUCUCCCUCCCUCCUUUCUCAUUCUCAGUUUCUACUCCAUCUUUCCUUCUCAUUCUCCUCUGCCUUUAGGGGUGCUUCAUGAAAGUGACUGAUACAUAUUCCUAAUCUACUUCAGUUCUUUGCAAUGUUUCACAUCUUUCAGUAAAUAAACAAAAGACCUUUUGCCAAAAUGCGACAUAAACUCCCAGAUAUGGAAUAGAAAAUCAAGAGAGGAGCCAAAUCUUUUUUUUUUUUUUAAUUUAGGAAAAGUGAGAGGUAGGUUAGAGAGCAACAUUUUAAAGAUUGAAAGUUUCUGACCAAACUCUUUUUGUUGUUGAUGUUGUUCGUGAAGUAAGGUCAAUGU